rnacentral:tRNA from 3 species
GGCGGUCGUGGCCAAGUGGUUAAGGUAAUGGUUUGUGGCACCAUCAUGCGCGGGUUCAAUUCCCGUCGUCCGCCUC